ACCUGGAUUUCCUUUCUGAUAAUGUGGUUUAUUUUCAGCCUUUUUACUGAGCUGGUGUUGUGUGUCUGUGGUUGACAUGAUGCUAAAAGGAGGAGGAUAAACUACGGCUCCGCCCACCUUAUAACUACCUGUUCAGUUUGCUGAAAGAAGGUUUUAUGACAAGAGGAGGCUGGAAAAAGUCACCGAGAGUAUCAUAUAAGAAACAUUAUUACCAAACAGAAAAGGCAGCAUGAUCAUCUUCUACCUGAUCAUUCAUUUGAACAUGUUUCUGGUUUCAGGCUCCUCGAACAGUGACAAAGUCGACCAGACUCCACGGGACAUUUUCAUCAAACCGGGCAAAGAUGCCAGAAUCAACUGUAAACACAAGAUCGAUAACUAUAACAUAAUCCUCUGGUACAAGCAGUCAAGCAAACAGAUGCAGCUCCUGGGAUAUAUGUUCACAACCAAAUCAUAUCCAGAGAAAGACGUUAAAGUGGAGAUGGAAGGGGACGCGAGUAAAGGAGAGAACUGCACGUUAAUAAUCGAGCGAGUCAAUCAGAGCAGCAGUGCGGUCUAUUUCUGUGCUGCUAGUUUACACAGUGCUGCAUGUCACUGCUCAGCAGUACAAAAACCUCCUCUUCAUCUCUACUGAACACCUGGAUUUCCUUUCUGAUAAUGUGGUUUAUUUUCAGCCUUUUUACUGAGCUGGUGUUGUGUGUCUGUGGUUGACGUGAUGCUAAAAGGAGGAGGAUAAACUACGGCUCCGCCCACCUUAUGACUACCUGUUCAGUUUGCUGAAAGGAGGUUUUAUGACAAGAGGAGGCUGGAAAAAGUCACUGAGAGUAUCAUAUAAGAAACAUUAUUACCAAACAGAAAAGGAAAGCAUGAUCAUCUUCUACCUGAUCGUUCAUUUGAACAUGUUUCUGGUUUCAGUUUCCUCUUCAAGUGACCAAGUCGACCAGACUCCAAGAGACAUUUACAGCAAACCAGGAGAACCAGCCAGAAUACAAUGUUCACACCAGAUUCAAAGCUAUAAUCAAAUCCUCUGGUACAAGAAGUCAAACAAACAG